GAGUUGAAGCAGCAGUGCUAUCAGAUAACAUCUCUAGGAUACUUCACACCAUCUGACUGGGACUGAAGAAGAACUGGGAUGAGCUUCAUCAUCAGUACCAAGGCCUGUCUUUGUUCACGGACAUCAUUUCUAAGAA